GUGUUAUUGUGGCUUUUCACUUCAGGAAGCAAGCAUAAUGAUGCUAUUCAUUGCAUUAACUGCAAAAAAACUAUCAUUAAGUCUUUGACUGUCUUAUAAUCAUGGGGAAAAGAAUUAAUACUUUGGAGCUCCAAAUAGGCCAGGCGCUUAGCGACCACCAUCCCUUUCAGUUUCCUCAAUAUUCUAGGAGAGAGGUAUCAGUAAUUUGAAUUCCCAUUUUACAGAUGGGGAUCAUCUCAGAGAGAGAAAAUCAUGUGCCCGGUGUGGUGCUAGGUUGUAACUAGGAUCUGCCUGUCCCAAAGCCUGCUCUCUUUCCAAGAUGUCGAGCAGCUGUCCCUUUUAUUUCUGGACUAUUUUGUAAUGCAUAAGGUGUCUUCAUAACAUCAGCUUUCUCAGCCUUGACAAUCUGUUUGUGCGGUGUGGGAGGCAGCGAUUUGGGUCUGUAUUUCGCAGAUGAUGAACAGAGGUUCACAAAUUAUCUGAUUUGCUCUGAGUGAGGCUGUGAGACUCAGGUCUUCAAGUCUACAGUUCUUUGCCCUGUCCACAUCCACCUUAUGCAGAGGUUCUGUAGGUGUCAAGAGUAAAGAAGUUGAUUUCUUAAAAUCAUCAAAUGGAGUCUAGGGUUGGUGACAGACCUGUCUUGAUUUUCUCAGGCCUUUCCUGACAUAGGAAGUCUUGUGUCCCGAGAAUACCCUCAGCCUUGGGCAGACUGGGAGAGUUGAUUCCUCUGACCAGAUACUCACAGAGGUCUUAUAAACAAUGCUGUCACUCUUCAUUCUUUUCAACUCAAUAAAUGUAGACUGCAUGGAAAGUUGAAAAAAGAAACGACAACCUAUAAGCAACCAACAGCAUAUACAUUUGGAAAUAAGAAGAUGAGGAGAACAGAGGCAACAUAUUUCUGUCUGCUUAUUUGGUUGCUCAAAGAACUUAAGUGUUAUUAUGAAGCCGAGUAAUCAGUAUCCUUCUUCACAGCUGUAUGAAAACAUGCAGGUUUGAUAUCAGCCGGACCUGAAUAGAAGCCUGUGAUGUUGACCUUGAUAGACCCAUGUGUAUUGGCCUUCUGCAGGCUACUUUUUACUUUUAUGACCAGAUACAGUGACCUGGAGCAGCACUUCCCUCUGUAAUGGGCAAUCCAGUGCCCUCAAGAAGAUUGAAGAGGAUUCAUGACACUCACCCAAUGAUCUCUUGGAGCCUCUUGCUGUGAAUUUCGGCUUCUUGAUCGACCAGCUCACAUUUUUGUCUCUUGUGGCUGUCCUGCUGCCUCUCUCCCAUCUGUCUCAUUCAUUGAUGGGAGUUUUCUCCUUCAUUCUCGAAAGCAUCACUGACACAAGGAAGUUAUAUGCAACAGACUUUUACUAAAAAUUUAAGGAUGGCUCCAGGGAUUAGAGCACAGAGCAGGAACC
rnacentral:lncRNA from 1 species